rnacentral:lncRNA from 1 species
CCUAUUAGAGAGGCACGGUAAACCCCAUUAUAUCUUACCUCAGUAUGAGAGGCGCGGAUGGAUAACUCCUGAGGUUAACACUUUAGAGUUCACUUCACGCCAAACCACCACGUGAGGGUAAACUCAACCAACACCAAGGAACGGCUAUGUUUCAAAAUAAAAACAUGAUUUAAGCGAACAUAACUUUUUAACAGCCUUGGCGGACUCAGUUGGGAUAGCCCUCAAUCAAGGCAUCCCUGAUAACUAGGUAUGAGAAUGAUUUUGGUAGUAACCAAAAUUUUAAGAAAUUCAUAAGCCAUGUUGAUUACUUGAUUUAUAUGAAUUGAUUUUAUUUGGUUGAAACAAGUUGAAAGGUGAUGUAUUACACUAUGUUAAACUAUUUUAUUUGUCUCUAUUUACUCAGCUUUAGAUAUUUUAGAUGGUAUUUGUUUACUCAUUGGGAUUAUAUAAUCUCACCACGCUCCUUUCCACCCCUUUCAGGCUCAAGAUAGUCAGUAGAUAGCUAACUUUGUUGAGGGCUACAGUUGGACUUGCAUCCUCAAAAACUGUAGGUUUACAACUUUUAUUACUUUUGGUUAUUCGAUGGCCCACUUGCUAUUGUAAAUUAAAUUAAAUACUCUGGCUUAUUGUAUUACAAUAUAUAUGAAUUUAUUUUUCUUUUACAUUGUAAAAAUUAUUUAUGCAGUGUUCUAAAAAUAUUGUUUUAUGAGAA